rnacentral:rRNA from 1 species
AUGGAGCCGACCUUGAAAUACCACCCUUUAAUGUUUGAUGUUCUAACGUUGACCCGUAAUCCGGGUUGCGGACAGUGUCUGGUGGGUAGUUUGACUGGGGCGGUCUCCUCCUAAAGAGUAACGGAGGAGCACGAAGGUUGGCUAAUCCUGGUCGGACAUCAGGAGGUUAGUGCAAUGGCAUAAGCCAGCUUGACUGCGAGCGUGACGGCGCGAGCAGGUGCGAAAGCAGGUCAUAGUGAUCCGGUGGUUCUGAAUGGAAGGGCCAUCGCUCAACGGAUAAAAGGUACUCCGGGGAUAACAGGCUGAUACCGCCCAAGAGUUCAUAUCGACGGCGGUGUUUGGCACCUCGAUGUCGGCUCAUCACAUCCUGGGGCUGAAGUAGGUCCCAAGGGUAUGGCUGUUCGCCAUUUAAAGUGGUACGCGAGCUGGGUUUAGAACGUCGUGAGACAGUUCGGUCCCUAUCU